rnacentral:rRNA from 1 species
AGUGAACGCUGGCGGUAGGCCUAACACAUGCAAGUCGAACGGCAGCACAGGAGAGCUUGCUCUCUGGGUGGCGAGUGGCGGACGGGUGAGGAAUACAUCGGAAUCUGCCCAGUCGUGGGGGAUAACGUAGGGAAACUUACGCUAAUACCGCAUACGACCUUCGGGUGAAAGAGGGGGAUCGCAAGACCUCUCGCGAUUGGAUGAGCCGAUGUCGGAUUAGCUAGUUGGCGGGGUAAUGGCCCACCAAGGCGACGAUCCGUAGCUGGUCUGAGAGGAUGAUCAGCCACACUGGAACUGAGACACGGUCCAGACUCCUACGGGAGGCAGCAGUGGGGAAUAUUGGACAAUGGGCGCAAGCCUGAUCCAGCCAUACCGCGUGGGUGAAGAAGGCCUUCGGGUUGUAAAGCCCUUUUGUUGGGAAAGAAAUCUUUCAGGCUAAUACCCUGGGAGGAUGACGGUACCCAAAGAAUAAGCACCGGCGAACUUCGU